rnacentral:rRNA from 1 species
UAGGGAAUCUUCGGCAAUGGGGGCAACCCUGACCGAGCAACGCCGCGUGAGUGAAGAAGGUUUUCGGAUCGUAAAGCUCUGUUGUAAGAGAAGAACGUGUGUGAGAGUGGAAAGUUCACACAGUGACGGUAACUUACCAGAAAGGGACGGCUAACUACGUGCCAGCAGCCGCGGUAAUACGUAGGUCCCGAGCGUUGUCCGGAUUUAUUGGGCGUAAAGCGAGCGCAGGCGGUUUAAUAAGUCUGAAGUUAAAGGCAGUGGCUUAACCAUUGUUCGCUUUGGAAACUGUUAAACUUGAGUGCAGCAGGGGAGAGUGGAAUUCCAUGUGUAGCUGUGAAAUGCGUAGAUAUAUGGAGGAACACCGGUGGCGAAAGCGGCUCUCUGGUCUGUAACUGACGCUGAGGCUCGAAAGCGUGGGGAGCAAACAGG